GCUUCGUCUUUUCUUCUCUGAGAUGGGCCAGCCACUUGGACACGCAGUUCGAAAUAGACGUUCCCUCGUGCGUCGCCGCUUGGCUUGAGCUGUCGCUCCUUCUCUUCCUCUCGGGGAUGGUGAGGUGAUUCGGGGCAUGAGCAAUGGGACUGAGCUGACACAGAACCCAAUACCCCAAAGCAACGCUGGACUUUCAGAACGCGGAGAAGAAGACACUCGAAAUUUCUCGCAGUUUCAAGGAUGUUCUUCCCAGAUGUGCCUCCAACCAUCAAUUAUGCACUCGUGUUAGGAAUAACGUGUCUGACGGUCUUCUGCAACUUCACCAAAAGUUCCUCUGAGUUUUCAGGUCAAGCACCUCCUGAUGUAAUCAACACUCCCCACACAAGGUCUGGUAGGGCCAUCCGAAGACUUAUUAACCUGAAAGGCUGUGUGUGAAGUGGAAGAAGUGGAUGGAAGAUUCUCAGGACACAGUACACCUAGGCCAGGAAGGAGGCACCCUCAGGUAGUGCUGGUGGAAGGGCUAUAGGAAGACACAUCUCCAUCCUUCAGCACUUUCUGGAGCCCCAUACUGCAUAAUGGAUGAGGCCCAUCCAGCAACAGGCGGUACAGCCUGCAUUUCCCCCCUCAUAUGAAGCCAAACACCAGUCAGCAAAACCACAAUAACUCGUGGGUUGGGAUGGCUCCUUGUACAAGCACCCCAAGGCACAAUGACGAGGAGGAAGAUGAGUUUGGGAAGGUAGACGACCAUGACUCUCUCAGCACCAUUUAGAAGGCCCUGGAUAAAUUCUGCCAUGCUGAUGAGGAUGGUUCCUCUUGGCUGAUCCCUGGAGUGAAGAACACAAAGCCUUUUACCAACAGCUGGUGGAUGAGAUUGGGGCACACUGCCAGAUGAUGCACCUGGAACAGUUGCACCAACAACAGUAGCUAGUGAACCAGCAGCUGCCCCUAUCUCCAUGUAAUGAAAUCACCAUCAAUAUUGCACAGACCAUUCAUUUUUAUUAUUGCUUAUUGUUUAUAUACACAUUCCUUUUGUUAUUCCUUUUUUCA